GCGUGCGGCUCGGUGGCUGUCCCUUUGUUUCUGCUCAGAGGGAUGAUCUGAAGUAGUUGUCGUGUUUUAUCAUGUUUUCUUUCAUUCUCCUGAGCUUAACUAAAGAAUUACACAUUUAUUUUUUUUUUAAGACGUGGUAAAACAUUUCUGUGACUUUUUCAUAGACAUGUUUGAAUUAGAACAUGGGUACUGUGUGAAAACUGAAAAGAUUAGAUUUUGGCAAGUGCGUAACUUCAUAUAAACUAUCACUAAACUUAAUCUGUUCAAAACAUCCAGGGUGAAUGUCCCCAUCAGCCCUACAGAUACCAUUAAUUAAAGAAAACUCCUCUCAAAUGCAUCAGUAUUGCUUGUGGGACUAAAUGCAGUGACAGGAUUGAACAUCACCAAUGGGACUACCCCAGAUUUGGUUUUUAUUUCAAAGUAACCUAGAGUUCAAGGAAAGUCAAACUAAAAAGUAUGUACCAGUUGCCUCCCUGCACCACGCUGUUGAUUAGAAGAGGCCCUUUUGACAGAUUUCAGCUGGUGACACACACGUUCCUAUCAUCCAAGGCUAUUCCUGUGCUGGUUUCUGAAGCGUUGCUGCCAUAUCAGGAAUAAAUAAUAUUUGUACCGCUAAAUACUCAUUAUAAAACAUGGAGAGACUGUCCUGGCCCACUACGGCAUCGUGUAUACAUGAAGUUAGACAACCUGUUUUUUCCAGUACGUCCAAUCUGUGAUUGCCUAUAGACUUACAAAGAGCUUUUCCCACCCUCCAGCUUAGCAGUUCAUUACUGCUCAUUGCUUUUAUUUACUUUUGGAUGAAAUUAAGUCAGCCAGUUCUCUCUCCCUCCAGAAAUGCUCCCUAGGGAGGGUGCCAGGUCAGCCUGUUGCUCUCCUGGCCUUGCGCACCCACACAAAGACCUGCCACACCUGAGCUGGGGACCCCAAGGUGCACAGCUGGCUGCAUCUGGGCAGUUGUUGGUUAGGACAUUGGAGUCCAGCUCUGGUGUUAUUGCUGUGGGUUACACUUCCAUGCGACUAGAGUCCCACAGCCUAUGUUAAUUCAUAAAGUUCAGAUAAUCUCAUUAAUUUAAUGAAUCGCUAUCGGAGGACCUCUUCGAAUUGUCCAUAAAAAGCAAUUCCAUGACUGUGCCUCAGUAAUACCUUCAGUUUAGUUAACACUGUUGAUCUCAUUCAGUGUCUAGACUGAUAAGGGGAAUAUAAGCUUUUAGGCUUAUAUGUAGUGUAUAUAUAUGUAUUUAUAUAUCCAUAUAUAUGUCUUGUCUGUGUGAUAGAAAAAUGAUAAUUUCACCUGUUAUGGAUUGAAAACCAGCUGCUGGUCGUACACAACAGGAGACACUGGUGGUGGCUGAAAGAGGGAGUGUGAAUCCAGCACUGAAAUGUGCUGUUCAAAUCCCAUUUACAGCACUAGAGAAAAAACACGACGUGCCUGAAAGCAAACAGGGCUUCACCUUCAUGAGUCCCAUAAUUGUACAGUAAAACUGCAACAUUUUAGGGAAGGCCAUGGAGAAUAGCUUUUCCAUUAAAACUGGAAGGGGAAUGGCGGGGGGCAGAGUAGAAUAACCUGGGCCUGGGUCUCCUUGGUGCUAACUCUGCUUUCAGCCUGCUUCUGCAACUUUUCCUCCUCUUCUUUUCCGUGCGCAGUCUGAGCUCGCUGGCAGCCCCGUUUAGUUGCUGCUGGAAAGGCAGGGAGCAGGUAAGGAUGCAGACACAGGAGGCAGGCAGCGCCUCUGGGAUUUGGCAGCUUUUGCAAACUUAAGAAAUUCUGAGAGCCGUGAAUUUCCCCGUAAUUGCCCAUAUUUGCCAGAGCUGAGGCCGUUUCCCAAACCUCCUUCUUCUCCAGCUGCCAGCAGUGAUCACUGAUAUUUGCCUAACGAUCACUUUUUUCCAGGAGAGGUGGUGCCAGCACCGUUCC